rnacentral:misc_RNA from 1 species
CUGAGUGUAAAAACUCCCAAACCCACUGUGAACAUACCACUGUUGCUUCGGCGGAUCCGCCCCGGGCGCGCCCUCACAGGCGUGCCCCGGAACCAGGCGCCCGCCGGAGGACCUAAAACUCUUUGUUUCUUAUAGAGCAUCUCUGAGUGUGAUUUUACAAAUCAAAUCA